rnacentral:rRNA from 1 species
CGGCGGACGGGUGAGUAACGCGUGGGUAACCUGCCUCAUACAGGGGGAUAACAGCUGGAAACGGCUGCUAAUACCGCAUAAGCGCACAGUACCGCAUGGUACGGUGUGAAAAACUCCGGUGGUAUGAGAUGGACCCGCGUCUGAUUAGGUAGUUGGUGGGGUAACGGCCUACCAAGCCGACGAUCAGUAGCCGACCUGAGAGGGUGACCGGCCACAUUGGGACUGAGACACGGCCCAA